GAUGAAGAACGCAGCGAAAUGCGAUAAGUAAUGUGAAUUGCAGAAUUCAGUGAAUCAUCGAAUCUUUGAACGCACCUUGCACUCCUUGGUAUUCCGAGGAGUACGCCUGUUCGAGUGUUAUGAAGCUCUCAAAACGCAAUUGGCUUAAAACCUGAUUGUUGUUUUGGAUUUGAACUUUGCCGUGUUAUAACGGCUGGUUUUAAAAGUAUUAGCUGAUACUAGAACGAAUUGGUUCUACUCAACGUGAUAAUUAUCUGAUCGUUGAGGACAUUCCUUUCACGAGGAAUGGCCAUAGUAAAUUCAAUGGACUGCUUCUAAUCUGGCUUUAAUUCUUUAUUGGAUUAACCACUUUUCAAAUCUGACCUCGAAUCAGGUGGGACUACCCGCUGAACUUAAGCAUAUCAAUAAGCGGAGGA
rnacentral:misc_RNA from 1 species